UUUCCGUAGGUGAACCUGCGGAGGGAUCAUUAUUGUAUAACCGAGGUGCGAGGGCUGUCGCUGACCCGAAAGGUCGUGCACGCCCGAGUGCCCUCACACACAUCCAUCUCACCCCUAUGUGCACCACCGCGUGGGUCCCCCUUUGGCUUGUUCGGAGGGGGGCUCGCGUUUUCACACAAACCCCCCUUUUAAAAGUGUAGAAUGACCACAUUUAUGCAAUCAAUACAACUUUCAACAACGGAUCUCUUGGCUCUC
rnacentral:misc_RNA from 1 species